UUGAUUUUGUUUCAUAACUUACAUGUAAAAUAAAUAGACUACAAGAAUCAGGAGGAUUGCAACAUUCCCAGAUGCAUUCUUCACAUUUUUUUUCUGCGUUGCAAUGUAGCGUCUUCCUGAUGUGAAUUCAGAAACUUGCUAAAACAAGUCGAUGACAGUAACUUAAACAUAAAACACACUUUAAAACUCAUGUGAAUAUUGAAUGCAAGUCUAGCAAAUUUCUCUAAGCUACUAGUAGUUUACAGCUGCUUAGAACAGAAAAAAAAUCAAAGCAAGCAACUCAUUUAACAAAUCUGAAAACAAUUAAAAGUUGCUUCUGGUGUUUGAAGGCAUGCUCAGAACAGGAAGCAACCCUGAGCAUGCACAAACAAGGCUGCAAUGCCAUUAUCUGUCUGAGCCUUUCAUGUUGGUAAUGGAAGUACAGAGAAACAACCUUCCCUCAGAGGCUGUCAGCAAGUUGGCUGCAGGAAGCUCAGAGUGCAGAUGACAGGUAGAAGAGCAGAACGUCUGCGCUGGAAUGAAAAUGGUGCAGCCUGGACAGCAUGGCGACAAAACGUUUCAAGAGGCUGGAUGGUUCAGAGGAUCCAGGCACGAGAUGCUGUCCAGAUGCCUGUCCUCCACCUCAGCUGAAGUGCUCAUUCCAUGAGUCAGCGUGUCGAUCACUGGGUGAGAGCCGGGAGGGAGAAGCGGCUGUUUUUCUCAGAGCUCUGCUGCCUGUUUGCCAAACAAUGGCAGAUGGGAAUGCUUGGAUAUUAGUGGAUGCCUUCUACGUGCUUGGACAUGCUAUGCAAAAUUCAACAGUGUCACGCUCUGUCUCUGACUCUGCUGCCAUGUAUCACUUGUGAAUGUGUUCCUUCACUGACCCUAUUAGGUAACUUGUAAGCUGUAAAAACUUGUAGCAGCAUGUUUCUCUGUUUGCCUGCAUAAAGAUCCUUGGGGUUUGCUCCAGCAAAACAUCAUUACUCUGAUUGAUAUUGUCUUUACGAACUGCUUAUGAUGUUAAGAAAAGUUAAGAAAACAUUUAAAUCCAGACACAAUCUUGAAGUGAAGCCAGUUGCUCCGAGGUUACACUCCACACACCUGCUUCCUUGUUAACAUAAGAAGCAGCAACAGGCUCAUUUUAAGCUCCAACAUAAAUUAACUUGUGUCCUUCUGAAUAAAAGCACCAUAUCUGGUUUCUAUGGAA